rnacentral:rRNA from 1 species
UACAGAGGGUGCGAGCGUUGAUCGGAAUCAUUGGGCGUAAAGCGCGUGUAGGCGGUCCGGUAAGUCCGCUGUGAAAGUCAAGGGCUCAACCCUUGAAUGCCGGUUGAUACUGUCGGGCUAGAGUCCGGAAGAGGCGAGUGGAAUUCCCGGUGUAGCGGUGAAAUGCGCAGAUAUCGGGAGGAACACCAAUGGCGAAGGCAGCUCGCUGGGACGGUACUGACGCUGAGACGCGAAAGCGUGGGGAGCAAACAGG